GAUGAACGCUGGCGGCGUGCCUAAUACAUGCAAGUCGAGCGAACGGACGAGAAGCUUGCUUUUCUGAUGUUAGCGACGGACGGGUGAGUAACACGUGGAUAACCUACCUAUAAGACUGGGAUAACUUCGGGAAACCGGAGCUAAUACCGGAUAAUAUUUUGAACCGCAUGGUUCAAAAGUGAAAGACGGUCUUGCUGUCACUUAUAGAUGGAUCCGCGCUGCAUUAGCUAGUUGGUAAGGUAACGGCUUACCAAGGCAACGAUGCAUAGCCGACCUGAGAGGGUGAUCGGCCACACUGGAACGGAGACACGGUCCAGACUCCUACGGGAGGCAGCAGUAGGGAAUCUUCCGCAAUGGGCGAAAGCCUGACGGAGCAACGCCGCGUGAGUGAUGAAGGUCUUCGGAUCGUAAAACUCUGUUAUUAGGGAAGAACAUAUGUGUAAGUAACUGUGCACAUCUUGACGGUACCUAAUCAGAAAGCCACGGCUAACUACGUG
rnacentral:rRNA from 1 species